AGGGCAUUCCCAUAACCUGGA
rnacentral:misc_RNA from 1 species